rnacentral:lncRNA from 1 species
AUCCCUGGGCCUGGGCCUACCUAGGUGAAGACAGGCAUUUUUGUUUUCCUGCCCGGAUGUUGCAUUUCCCAAGACCACCCUGGCCUGCCAUGCCCUCAUCCUGUGCCUUUAAAAACCCCCGAGACCCUGGCAGGCAGACGCACAAGCAGCUGGACAUUGAGAGGAGCAUAUAGGCAGAGAAUACAGGGGCUGCUGGAUGUCGAAAGGAACGCACCAGCAUAGGAGCACACCGGCAUGCUGGCAGGCCAUUGACCAGCGGAAGAAUGCAGAGUUUGUCGCGGGAGGUCAGAGAAGAGUCAGGCCGCCAUACCUGACUCCAGGAGAAAACCGUCUCCCUUCUGGUUCCCCCGUCUGCCGAGAGCUACUUCCACUCAAUAAAACUUUCCACUCAUUCUUCAAGCCCACGUGUGAUCCAAUUCUUCCCGUACACCAAGGUCUCGCUGUGUUUCCCAGGCUGGGUGCAGUGGCUAUUCAAAGGUACAAUGAUAGCUCACUGCAGCCUGGAACUCCUGGACUCAAGCGAUCCUCCUGCCUCAGCUGCGACUAACAGUGCUGGUAAUGAUGUAUACCUGGCAGCUGACCGUCAAAUCUUAUGAAGGAUUAAAACAUAAAGUUUGCAUUAAAGGUCAAAACAGUCACAAGCCUGCUCAAAUUCGGAAAGAGGGGACGGAAAUGGAACCUCUUCAUGGGAGGAAGAAACAGGGUCUUGCUCUGUUGCCCUGGCUGGAGUGCAAUGGUAUGAUCAUAGCUCACAGUAGCCUUGAACUCCUGGGCCCAAGCCAUCCUCCUACCUCAGCAACCAGAGUAGCUGGGAUUACAGGCGAAUGCCACCACACCUGGAUGGAGUCUCACUGUCACGCAGAUUGGAGUGCAGUGGCACGAUCCUGGCUCACUGCAACCUCUGCCUCUUGGGUUCAAGCAACUCUCCUGCCCCAGCCUCCUCAGUAGCUAGGACUACAGGCCUGUGCCACAAUGCCCAGCUAAUUUCUGUAUUUUUAGUAGACAUGGGGUUUCACCGUAUUGGCCAGGCUGGUCUUGAACUCCUGACUUCAGAAUUGGAAAAAUGAAUGUAAUUUGACAUAUGUCUUGAGUCUGGUUGGCUUCUGAGGAACUUGUGUGCAUCUCAUCAGUAUGCAUCUUAAGAACUGAAAUGACCCUACUUCAGCAUUGUGAGAAGACAUGCAUUCUCUUCGUAUAAAUAAUGUGGAUCUUACAUGUAAAGUAUUAUAAAGAUUAGCUGUUUAACAACUUAAAUAAGCUUGUGAAUAAUAAAUUAAUAACAAUGUUAUGCUAAUACGUAACUAUGAUAUUUGCUGAACAAAAUAAAUUUGCCUACUUUGGAAGCAGAUUGGGUGGUUUAAUAUAUCAGCAAAAGAGUGUUUUUAAAAAAUAUCAAAGUUCUGUUAAUCAAAACGUUUAUUGUAGGACAGUUAGUAAUGUUUUGUUUGCCAACUUAUAUUACAAAGUCUCUGUCUUAAGUGUUUCCUUGCAAAUAAAAUGACAAUACUGCCUUACAUUUUAUUACUUUAGAGUUUGCAAAAUAUCUUCAUUAUAAUAUUUCAUUUAGUAGACAUGCCUAUGGGAACAUUACUUCCAGAAUUAAAAACAUUAUUUUUGUUUUGGUAUAUUUUUAAACUACAAAUGAUAGAAAGGCAAGUAAAUGUAAGUUUUUCUCUAGUUAUUUGUUCAAAUGCUAAUUUAAAACAUUUGUACAUUUCUAAUACAAACAUUCCUUAUUUGAGAAAAAAUGGAUUUCUUAAAAACAAAAUGCAUUUUAAAGCAGAGAGACAGGGCAUUGAGCUGAAAAUGGUGGCUGGAAGUUGGGAUCUGUAAGAGAAGUUGAAUGUGCCCCGAGGCAUAAAGCUGCUAAUUUUGUUUUAUUGGAUUUUACUGUAGCUAUUAAUAUAUUUUGCUGGAGAUUUAUGUGAUCAAUUUAUCUUAUGGCCAGAACUAAUUCCCUUAGUAUAUUUUAUUAGAAUAUGUGACUUUUUCUAAAUUUAGCUUUAUUUUUCAUAUUUUCCAUAAAUGGCAAAGAUUCUAUGUUUCCAGACAUGUUAAGUAUUGCAAGAAUUAUUGGAGCACCUAAAGAUAAAUAAUAUCAAAAUAGUGUCAUUGUUUCCCUUAGUUUCUCCUUCUCCCCCACAAAUAAACCAAGAGGUAUUUAGUUAUACUAUUGCAUGUCUCUAGCUUUAUUGGAUUCUUCCAUGAAAGAAAAAUGGAUUACAUUUUUGGUUGUGUGGCCCUCGUUGCCCUAUUGCACUUUUGAUAAUAUUUGCCUGUGACAAGUAGUUAUUUUUCAUUACCACAUUCAAUCAUGGGUAAUAAAAUAUUUUAAUAAUGGUGAAUGUGAAGUUAAUUAAUAACCCGCAGGUAUGGCAGCUAGACAGGAUUGCUCUCCAUCUCAAACACAAGGAAAACAAUUCCAUCGGUAGUUAUAAAUUUGCAUAUGAAUGUCAAAUAUAUGAGGUUUUGAAUAAAAAUCAUUUCUGAGUAAAA